rnacentral:rRNA from 1 species
GUAGGGACCAAGCGUUGUUCGGAUCUACUGGGCGUAAAGGGCGCGUAGGCGGCAAUUCAAGUCAGCUGUGAAAUCUCCGGGCUCAACUCGGAACGGUCAGCUGAUACUGCUUUGCUAGAGUGCAGAAGGGGCAAUCGGAAUUCUUGGUGUAGCGGUGAAAUGCGUAGAUAUCAAGAGGAACACCUGAGGUGAAGACGGGUUGCUGGGCUGACACUGACGCUGAGGCGCGAAAGCUAGGGUAGCAAACGGGAUUAGAUACCCCGGUAGUCCUAGCCCUAAACGAUGAAUACUUGGUGUCUGGAGUUUUUAUCCUCCGGGUGCCGUCGCUAACGUUUUAAGUAUUCCGCCUGGGGAGUACGCACGCAAGUGUG